ACAUGCAGAGAACUUUCCAGAGAUGGAUUGGUGCCUCGGGAACUCUGACACAGGUGCUGCAUGGCCGUCCUCAGCUCGUGUCGUGAGAUGUUGGGUUAAGUCCCGUAACGAGCGCAACCCUUGUCCUUAGUUACCAGCACGUUAUGGUGGGCACUCUAAGGAGACUGCCGGUGACAAACCGGAGGAAGGUGGGGAUGACGUCAAGUCAUCACGGCCCUUACGGGCUGGGCUACACACGUGCUACAAUGGUGGUGACAGUGGGCAGCGAGACCGCGAGGUCGAGCUAAUCUCCAAAAGCCAUCUCAGUUCGGAUUGCACUCUGCAACUCGAGUGCAUGAAGUUGGAAUCGCUAGUAAUCGCGGAUCAGCAUGCCGCGGUGAAUACGUUCCCGGGCCUU
rnacentral:rRNA from 1 species